rnacentral:rRNA from 1 species
UAGAGAUAGUUCCUCUUCUUCGGAAGCCAGAAAACAGGUGGUGCACGGUUGUCGUCAGCUCGUGUCGUGAGAUGUUGGGUUAAGUCCCGCAACGAGCGCACCCCCUAUCUUAUGUUGCCAGCACUUCGGGUGGGAACUCAUGAGAGACUGCCGCAGACAAUGCGGAGGAAGGCGGGGAUGACGUCAAAUCAUCAUGCCCCUUAUGACCUGGGCUACACACGUACUACAAUGGGAGUUAAUAGACGGAAGCGAGAUCGCGAGAUGGAGCAAACCCGAGAAACACUCUCUCAGUUCGGAUCGUAGGCUGCAACUCGCCUACGUGAAGUCGGAAUCGCUAGUAAUCGCAGGUCAGCAUACUGCGGUGAAUACGUUCCCGGGCCUUGUACACACCGCCCGUCACACCACGAAAGUCGGAAGUGCCCAAAGCCGGUGGGGUAACUUCGGGAGCCAGCCGUCUAAGGUAAAGUCGAUGAUUGGGGUGAAGUCGUAACAAGGUACCAAU